ensembl:lncRNA
UGUAGGAAAAGGGCUCCUCAGGUCAACUCGGAAGCCGGAGAAGAAAGGAAAACGCCUGCGCUCGGUCCGCGUUCCCCCGGCGGAGCGGGUCGGCACCUCGCCGCUCCUCGCUGCUGCCACAUGUACAGCUCCUCACCUCGAGACGUCUUCCCGGGCGUCUGGCUUCGCCUCUGCCUCACAGACAGCGCUGCGUGUGGCGUAAAUAGGCCGUUGUAUUGCACGGUGACCUUUGCAGGAAAGUAAAGUUAGCUGAAGGAAUUUAUACCGUCCCGGGAGAAGGAUUCUUCUACCUUUGAUUUCGGCUGAUGAGGACAUGGCAGAAAGGUGUUCACAAAAAUAAGCAUCCGUAUAACCAAGCGUGAGGGCUGCUCCAAAAGUAAUGCCUCCUGAUUUUGAUUCUGUGAUUCUGUUUUGUUUUGUUGGCCCACAGCAUCCGAGGUGGAUGUUGUUGGUAUGGCAGUGGAGGCUGAACCUUCCCACCAACAUCUGUUACGUGAUGUUGCCGUGUGACGGAUGGCAGCAGAGGGGCAGUCUGACAAAGUGGCAUCCGACAUGGGAGUCCAUAUGAAGCAAAGGACCUCUGCAUCAUCACAGAACAAAUCUGCGGCUUCACAGACACAUCUUGAGUAAUCCUGACUGAGUUGUUUGGGGAGAAAGCUGAAAUGCUUGUAGUUUGUCCACGUUGUGAAGAGCUCCUGAGGAAUGUCGGAAGAAAACUGUCCUAAUGGCUGUCUGUUGUGGGUGACCCAGUUGAACAAACAAUUGGAUGGAUGGCUGCUCCUAGCUGAAGGGCUCUCACAGGGGAGCAGGAAUGGCACUCUGCAUUGGCUGCUGGGGCUUCUGCUCCCAGCCCUCAUCGGUCCGUUCUUGAAUCAUUAUGAUUUGCAGAGCAUCAUUUGAAAGGAAUCUGAAAUAGGUUUUCACACGUUGAUCACAUCCCCGAGAGCUUUGUAUGUCUCUGCAUCAGUUGGGUGUUUUUAAAAAACACAGAAGCUCCACAGGUCUGUCACCCCACCCUGCAAUAAGAGCAGUCGAAAGCCAAUGAAGAGUGCAUCUCUUCUUGCUGUAACGGUACUGUCCUAAAAUAGGCUCUGGUGUUCCAGCGCGCAGAAGGUGUUUCAUACUUGACAAGCAAGUCAUUGUGAGACUGGAGAAGCCACAUCCUUCUUCCUGGUCUCUGUAGUUCCACCUGCAGAGUUAGAGUAGUGUGUUCCAUCUUCCUAACCAAAGGAGACACAGAUGAAAGGGGCCUAAGUCAUCAUGUCAGCUGUGUUCGUGAGAGAAAGAGAGUAAAAGGCACCCAGGCACCGAGGCAAGAAGUGAACAGUGCCAUUCCCUUCCCUGCAUCUCCCAAUCUGCCCCAGACUUCCUCAGCUGGAGCUUGGAUCCACGACUCUACAUUUCAAACCUCUGAGUAAGUCAACACAUUUUGCCAAGUUGUCUGAUCACCAAUUGAACUCCUCAUCCACAGCAUUACGGUUCUUGUUUGUCUGCUUAUAUGUCUGCAGGAUGUGACAGGUACCUAGAAAAAUCACUUUGUCCCAGUGGCAUCCCUUGUUAAUGUCAAAGGGAGCUGCAUGGAGAGGCUGAGCUGUGGUCGGCACUGAACUCUGUGCUCCUCUGGUGUCUGGAAACGGGAAAUGUACUUGUAGGGAGACCAGACUCAGGGGCAGCCUUGUGAAAGAGUAUUUCUUCACCCUUCACUUUUUUAGGAGUGUGAACACAAGGAAUUUAAUCUUUUCAUUUGGUUACUGCUGCUCUCUGCUAUAUCAGCACAGCCGCCAGAGCUGUUGUAAACAUUUGAAGAGUGGCGUCAAUUAAAGGUGACUCAGGAACAAAUGUGAUAUGAAGAAUUUGGAAAGGUUGGAAGAACAGCCAGUGUGCCAAAUGCUUUUCUAAAUGGACAACUAGAGGGAUGAAGAAGAGGAUGGUUUGGGAGUCACCCUUCCCACUUCAGCUGUGCGGUUAUGGUGACUACAUGUCCUAUUUGGAAGCACACACUGACUCGGAGGGUCAUCAUCCCACCAGUGCAUGAAGCUUGCAGUGAGUCAGCCCCUGUAUGUUACAAGGCAGGAUGGCUCCAGCUGCUAUUCAGCCUCUGUACAGUUUGACACUACUUCAGGGCGGAUAUGGGGACUCCAGAGAAUAUGGCAAGGGCUGUGUUGCUCACAGGUAACUGCCAGUAAGGAGCCCACCAGGUAAAGUGGAUCAGAGAUGGCAUCCAUAAUAGUCUCUCACCCCAGCAAAGCAUAUUCUAGAAGAGCGGUGUUGAAAAAGGACCAACUCAAAGAAAUUCACCACCACAGGUUAUUCCCAGGCAGCACUACCCUACGCGAGAAGUAACAAAACACAUGACCUUACUCUCUGUGAAGUGUUUGUGGAGCUUUUGUCACCAUAGCACCGAGUCACCAAAUACAGAAAGGUCCCUCCCGUGAUUCAUAACUGAACCCACAGUGGCUGCUGCUAUUUUCUGCAGUCCUUCUCACCCUGCCAGUGGAUGGCAGCUGAGUGGAGCAGUGCUGAGCACUCGCUGGCCUCUCUCUCUUCCCAGUGCCUUGCAAACAACUCCCAGUUCUCAGCAGCUUUUUGAGCUGUUCUGGGCACCUGAGGAGAGCAGGUGGUUCUGCGGUCAUUUCAUACAACCACAGGUCUGGUCAGAGUAAGGACACGAAGUGAUCUGCACUAUAGGACCUUGGGCAGAGUUGGCCAUCACCAGACUUCAGCUCUUUGUGAAGGAGUUUUCUGACAUAGUUAUCAGCCUGAGACUUACAGAUUAAGAAUUUUGUAGCCACUUCUGCUACGCGUGACAGUGACAAUAGAUAACAAUACAAUAUUUGUCCAAUCCAUUUUCAUAUUUUUGGACAUGAGCCGCGUUUUUUACCUUCCGAUGCUGGACUGCUCUGAGAUCCCAAUGUUAUUGGAGGUCUUUUCCAACCUUAAUGAUUCUGUGACUACAUUUUCCCACAUCACUAGUGAUAGGACAAGAAGGAAUGGCCUCAAGUUAUGCCAGGGGAGGUUCAGGUUGGAUAUUAGGAAAAAAUUCUUCUCUGAAAGAGUGGUCAGGCAUUGAAACGGGCUCCCGAGGGCGGUGGGGAAGUCACUGUCCUUGGAGUUGUUCAAGAAGCAUUUAGAUGUUGUACUAAGGGACGUUGCUUAGUGGAGAAAAUAUUGGUGGUAGGUGGACGGUUGGACUGGAUGAUCUUAGAGGUCUUUUCCAACCUUGGUGAUUCUGUGAUUACUGGAGGGGGAACAAGCUACCACGGACUGUAUCUGCAGGAGAAUCGCUUCCUAGAUGUAAUCUGAACCGUGAAUGGCAUUUCAUUUGGCAGAACUAGAUAUUUUGGGUGGGACGCGAAACUGGAGAAGUGGGAUGGCAGAAGUGGGUGUGUUAGUACAAAGUUGGUAGAGGUCUGGGAGCUCUUCAGCAGGAGGUGGUGGCUGGGCAGCGAGAUCUGCAGGCAUGGCAGUGAGAAACCCACCAAUGGACAGUGAAAAAAGGCACCUCCAGGCAGAGGAGGUGCAGAGGCUGCUGCAGAACGGGUGAUGGGACCUGUGGGCAUGGCCUCAUGGCGGCAGGCUCAUGGGGAUUGGGAAGGGCCCCCGAGGAGACUGAGAGCACAGGAAGUCAGCCUUAGGGGGAGUCCUGGGUCUGCACGGUGCAGAGAGCGGAGGAGGUAUUCCUCAAAGAAGUGACUACCAGGAAGCAAACAGAACAAUCUCAAUUAAAGGGCAGUAGUAGCACAGGACAAUACCAACCUUAACAUAUUCCAGGUGGUAAAGAAUAGAUGGCCUCCAACCAGGAGAGGAGCAAGUUACUGGAAGAGAUCCCUGGGAGGAGCAGUGGGAAUGGGAGUGUGGGUGCUUGAGAUGCAGCAUGGAGGGGAGGCCCUGCCGGCACUGCCUGGAGCACAGUGGGUACAUGAGCCCUCCAGGAGCACCUGCUUGAGCAGCUUCUGUUUUGGCAGCUCCCAGCUGUCAGAACCACCACUCUUUCAGGGCACUUGGGGAGUGUGACAGCAGGUCUUCCGCAGCAUCAGUUGUUUUAUUUCCGUGAAUAAGGUGAUUUAUGUAGGCCUAAUUAUGUACUAGCAACAGUAGUAGAAAACCUUGAGUACUGUGUUCAGUUUGGGGUGCCUCGCUACAAGAAGGACAACAAGGACCUGGAAUGUAUCCCGAGAAGGUCAGCAAAGCUGUAAGGGGUUUGGAGCACAAGUCUUAUGAGGAGCAACUGAGGGAACUGGGAUUGUUCAGAAGAGGAGGCUCAGGGAAGACCUUACUGUACUCUACAACUGCCAAAAGAAGGUUGUGGUGAAGGGGCGGUCAGCCUCUUCUCCAGAGUAACAGGGAUAGGAUGAGAGGUGAUGGCCUCACGUUGCGCUGGGGGAGGUUCACGUUGGAUAUUAGUAAACAGUUCUUCUCAGGAAAAGAGGUAGUGCAUUAGCACAGGCUGCCCAGGGAGGUGGUGGAGCCACCAUCCCUGGAGGUGUUCAAGGGAUGUGUACAUGUGGCACUGAGGGAUGUGGUCAGUGGGCAGUAUUGGUGAUAGGAGGACGGUUGGACUGGAUGAUCUUAGAGGUCUUUGGCAACCUGAAUGAUUCUAUAAUUCUAUGAUUCUAUGAAAAGAGAAACAGAAGAGAGAAGCUAUCUGUGUUUAACAAAACCAAUACACUGCCACCAGUGAUUAAAUGCUGACAUGCUGAACGUGUCUCACCCAAGGCUUGUAGGGACAAAGCAAACAGUGUGCUGUUUGUCUGCAGCCCAGCAAUCGAUGGCAAGCGUUUGUGGGAAAUAAACCAAUAAACCAGCACCCUGGCUCAGUGUAUUCCUUCCUUGCCAGGAAUAACAGGAGUUAUAGGGGAUGAGAAGCAUCCCUGGGACGGUCACAGAAGCACAGCUUCUCCUUCAGGCCAGGACAGAUCAACGUGAAGGAGUAAUGCCUUCCCAAGGAAUAGUUUGUGAUGGAAGAUCUCAGGUCGUAAAGGAUUUGUUACUCCAAGUGACAUGCAUAAUUAAUUAAAUCUUUUCAAUUCUGUGAAAUAAAGAGCAAACACGAGUCCCCACACCCAAG